GUUACAUUUGCUCUGUGCAUGUCCAUGUCAUACACUAGAGGGUUUUCUCAGCCUCAGCACUGUUGACAUUUUGGGCCGGAAACACAAAACUAUAUAUCAAAAGAAAAUACCAGUGCCCUAAGAAUGGCAUACGUCACAGCAGGUUUCCUGGGAAGAAGUCCUCAAAGGGGCCAUGAAAAGGCUUCCUAUCCAGUAUGGAGCCCAACGCGGGGUUUGAACUCAUGACCCUGAGAUCAAGACCUGAGCUGAGAUCAAGAGUUGGACAUUUGACCAACUGAGCCACCCAGGCCCCCCUCUGCUAGAUUUUUUUUUUUUUUUAAAGAAGCCAAACAGA